UAAUACGGAGGGUGCAAGCGUUAAUCGGAAUUACUGGGCGUAAAGCGCACGCAGGCGGUUUGUUAAGUCAGAUGUGAAAUCCCCGGGCUCAACCUGGGAACUGCAUUUGAAACUGGCAAGCUAGAGUCUCGUAGAGGGGGGUAGAAUUCCAGGUGUAGCGGUGAAAUGCGUAGAGAUCUGGAGGAAUACCGGUGGCGAAGGCGGCCCCCUGGACGAAGACUGACGCUCAGGUGCGAAAGCGUGGGGAGCAAACAGGAUUAGAUACCCUGGUAGUCCACGCUGUAAACGAUGUCGAUUUGGAGGUUGUGCCCUUGAGGCGUGGCCUCCGGAGCUAACGCGUUAAAUCGACCGCCUGGGGAGUACGGCCGCAAGGUUA
rnacentral:rRNA from 1 species